GACCUUGGUCUGGGCCUGUUAUUGAAGAUCUCUGAGGUUUAUUUGAGCCCAAACUACCUGAGUGCCAGACCUCAACAUCCAGCUACCUCAGAGAUUGCUCCAUUUGGGAGCGUCAUAGCACCGAAAUCUGCACAGGUCGAAGGAGUGUCUGCUCUUCUUUCUGCAUUUCCUGUCUCUGGUAACUGCCACCAAGAACAAAACAGGUACCUCAAUGGAGUGUGGGAGUCAUCCUGGCCCCCCAUCCUCAUGUGCCCUUCUAUAAUCAUUCCAAUCUGUUACCUAACCCUGUAGAUUCUGUUUACAACUCAUGCAUAGAUAUGACUUUAAGCUGCUG
rnacentral:lncRNA from 13 species